CUGGGAACGCAGGGCUGGGGGAUCUGCCAGCUGCUCGCAGGGAUUAGCACAAGGGCACAUCUGCAGAACAUCCCAAGGCAGAAGCAAGAUAGAAAGAAUAGCAUGAGAUCAGCUCGGUCAUCUCGGAGACAAUGAGGAACACGCACAGAAAGUAUAAAUCAGCGCCCUUCCUGAUGGAGAAGAAUAGCACAGGGGUGUGGGGACACAGCCGCAGGGAGUGGGGCUGUGGCAGCGGGCAGUGGAAGGAGCAGCAGGGAAGGGAUGGGGGACAGAGGUGUCACCAACAGCAAAGGGCAAGCGGAGGCUUGGAGGUGCCGCUGAGUGUGACUGGGCAGGGACAGCAGGUGGAGGGGCCCUGUGGGCGAGGAGAUGAAGCAGACAGAAGGUUUGGGGCGAUUCUAACAAGAAAUGGAAUUGUUUGAAAAUUGGCGUUUCGGGGAACUGCUAACAUCAGCAACAGCCGUCUCUCAGCCUCCCCCUCCCUCGGCCGCACGGAACUGCAGCCGGUGACCAACGUCAGCUGUUCUCUUACUCAUCCUGGCUGCAGCAGUGAUAUUCCACUCUGUGUUAUACAACGCCUGCUGCUCACCCCCAGCCCUGGGCUCCUGACCGCGGGAUGCUGAGGCCGGCAGCUCGGGAUCAGUUGGAUGAAGACAUCUGCUUCGCUUCAAGGAGAUCUGAAGAGGAUGCUGCCCCAGGGCAGUGUGAGGGAUGGGUCACCCAGCACCGAGCAUUGGGUACCCAGAGGCACGCGUGGCAUCCCAGGCAUGGCACAGCCACCGCUCCUCCAACACCACCAAGUUCACCUCCAGAACCUCAAUCUGAGCUCUCACCUUCACCAGCUGAAGGCUCUCCAUCACCCUCACCAGGAGUGAGCUUCUCAGCGUGCCAAAGCCUACAUAGCAAGGAACAGCAGCUUGCUGAGGAUCACAACAGGAGGCUGACCUUCCCUGGUUGGAGCUGUGCUGCAGAAGGGAAGACUCCUUCAGGCCCAAGAAAACAGAGUUAGUUCAGGUAAAGCUGAAUUAAAGGCCUUCAGUGAGAACACCGAUGUGAUGGAGACAUCCCUCAGUUACCGAAAUCAAACGGGAUGCUGUGUGCCACAUGCAGUGCCUGGGUGAUGAGCUAAAGCAAAGGAGAGCCCAGGAAGGAAAAGCAGAGCAAAGCCCCAUCUGGAUCAGAGCAUCUCACACAGAUCCACCUACAGCCCGUCCAGGCAGUGCCUUCUCUGCUAUGACAAAGGGGCUGCUAAUGCAGAAUAAAUUGUGAGCUCUUACUUCACACAAGUUUUAGACAAAGAAGAGAACAAAGGAGUCCUCCAGGCAAUAGUUGUGGGAAAUUACAAUCAUUAAUAAUUUCUUCAGCUCCAGCUACAAGAGUUCCAUUGGUCCUCUGAGGAGGCAUCGCACCAACUUCCCAGUCACAGAACCCAUCGCUCAGCACAAGGUACCUGUUUGAUCCCCCACAAAAACCAAAAGGAGAUGAAAAGGAACCAAUGAAGGGCUCAUCCCAGCAGCAGGGCGUGCUGCUCUGAGCAUCGCUGGUACGCAGAGGGCCUGGAACUGCCACGGGCCCCCUACUCGGUGGAGAGCAACAAGGAGUGCAGGGAGCAAUGGCUCACAGGCAUCACUUCGGGAUUCCCCAUCUCACGUCCAAGCAUCGGUGUUGAUGACGGAGCCCGUGGUGACACACAGCCCCAUUCUCACUGCCCUGAGUGGCCGUGCGCGCAUAGAAGACAAAGCAGCUUCAGAAGGUCGGGAAUGGCUCUGGAGUAGAGCUGUGAAGUUGGCAUGAUGAUGCCCGUGCUUGAAGACCGCGCUGCUUUCUGUCGAUGCUCCCUUUUGACGACGGGGAAGGCGGAG
ensembl:lncRNA